UACAGAGGGGGCAAGCGUUGUUCGGAAUCAUUGGGCGUAAAGGGCGCGUAGGCGGCCGUCCAAGUCGGGUGUGAAAUCCCUCGGCUCAACCGAGGAACUGCACUCGAUACUGGUUGGCUAGAGUCCGGGAGGGGAUGGUGGAAUUCCCAGUGUAGCGGUGAAAUGCGUAGAUAUUCGCAAGAACACCAGUGGCGAAGGCGGCUCACUGGCCCGGUACUGACGCUGAGGUGCGAAAGCGUGGGGAGCAAACGGG
rnacentral:rRNA from 1 species